GGCAUGGUGGCACAAGCCUAGAGUCUCAGCUAAUCCAGAGGCCAAGGUGGAAGGAUCACUUGAGCCCAGGAGUUCAAAUCCAGCCUGGGCAACAUAGCACAGCCCUGUUUCUAAAAAAUAAAACAAAAUAGGUACGUAUGUGUACACACACAUACGUACAUACUCCUCUGAGCUGCUCUGUUAUGAGAAGAGAAUAUGAUUGUUUUGCCUGGUCCCUGUGGAAAGUACAAAAAGAACAUAUUUCCACAAACUAGGCUACUGCGUGUGGUCACUUACCAUACUCAUCCCUAACUUUUUUGUUUUUUUGUUUUUGGUGACUGGGUCUUGCUGUGUUGCCCAGGCCUACCUUAAACUCCUGGGCUGAAGCGAUCCUCUCCUGAGUAGCUGGGACUACUGGCACACCCCUGCUUUUUAAGUGACUAUGUAUGGUCUCUAGAAUCCCCCUCUUUCUAGAUAACCAGGCUAGUCUCGAACUCCUGACCUCAGGUGAUCCACCCACCUUGGCCUCCGAAAGUGCUGGGAUUUCAGGUGUGAGCCACCGCACCCGGCCCACUUUAAUUCUUUCAAGGUGGUUUGGUACAGUCAUUCCCAAAGAGACAACAUCAAAAACACCUGGGAAAUGUCUUAAACAUGCAGACCCUGAGGUUCUACCUUUCUUCCCAUCCCCUAAACUUCUUCAUUAUUAUAUCUGGGCAGGGCCUGGAAAUCUGUAUUUUAAAUAAGUGCCUCCAGUGAGUUUUGCUUUUAUGCACUUUGGGAACCCAAGGACAGAUCCUGGGACUCUGAGGCCAAGCCCUGGGCUUAGUUUCUCCUGGCACUGUCUCUGUCUGCCUGGAUGAUCUCCUGGUCACGAAGGUUCUUCGUGUCUCAGGGUUAUCAGGUGUGAGUGUCUGAUGAAAUGAUGAAUGCGAGUACCCAUCUCUGUGUGGACUCUGUAAAUGUAAGGGAUUAUCAAUACUCUUAUUUAUUGUAAUAAUCCCUCCUUCCCAUUCCCAUUUUCUUGCCCAAUGACUUAAUCAGAGUCACUCCAGUAUAGCAUUUAUCUUUGAAGCCUGUGGUUGAUUUGACAGGAUUUGAUAUAAAAUAAGGAGUAAGAGGCUGUGCUUUGGCUCAACAGCAAGUUCUCACUGCUAAAAAGCCUCUGAUUCUGCCCUGUCUGUGUACUUUCCUGUAUCGGGGGAGGGAGAGACUGUGCAGGUGUUUAAAUUGGGACUUGAAAGCUUUAGAUUUGUGUUGUCCAGAAAGGUAGCCACUGACCACAUGUGGCUAUGGAGCACUUGAAAUUCAGCUAGUCUGGGUUAAGAUGUGCUGUCAAUGUGAAAUACACCCAGAGUUCAGAGAUUUAAUACUAG
rnacentral:lncRNA from 1 species